GGCAUUUUUCAGCCUGUGACACAGACUUGAUGUGAUUAAACAAAGGCUUUUCUCCAAAUUUAAAGCUCUUAAAAAAAAAAGCUGAAUCUAAUACUCUAACUUGUUUUUAAAUGGGAGCAGAUGCCUCUGUUUCUUGAGCUGACUUCCAGAUUCUGAGAAAUAAAUGAAGAGUGGAGGCUUGUUUUGGUAGAGGCUGAGAAAAGGAGUUGGCCAUAUUUGCCCUUCAGAACUUCGUGUCAUCCCCCAGCUCCCCAACGGCAGGGCCACAUUCUUUCACAGGACGGAGUUGGGGCAGAUUAUGGCUUCCUCUGGAUUGGAUUUCCCUUGGCUUCCCUGAGGGCAAUCCCCCGAGGAAGCACAUCCUGGAGCCAAACUCACCCAAUGAACCACAGCAACAGCUCCUAGGAGAAUGAAGAGUGUGAAUGGAUGGCCUUUUCAAAAUGAUGAGCCUGGAAGAGUUACAGACUCUGGCCCGAAAGAACCAAAGUUGAAGGUAGAGAUGUUUUAAGGAUGAGCAGAGCAGAACAACUUAGCAGUGGGAUGUUAAAGGCAACAUGAAUCAAGAAAACAGAUACUGGCUCCCCAAACCCAUGAUGAAGAAAGAAGCUGGAAGAACUCUCAGAAGAGUUUUCAAGACCAUGAGUGCCCUUGCCAAAACCCAAUGGAAAAGUCUCUAGAGAAACAGAGGUCAUAGAAGUUUAAAGGCUCAAUAAAAUUCCAUGAAGCAUCAACCUGAAGAAUAAC
rnacentral:lncRNA from 1 species